GCAGCGGUGGUUGAGUGCUGGAAUUCUUGCCUUCCAUGUAAGAGACCUGGGUUUGAUUCCCAGCCAGUGCA
rnacentral:tRNA from 1 species